rnacentral:sRNA from 1 species
CAUAAGAAGAUGAAUUCAAUGGAAGAAAGCGUGUGAAUUUGUUUGUUUAUAUGUAUAUUUGUAUUUGUUUGACUGGUCUUUGCUCUCUCUCUCCUUUCUCUGUUCUUUCUUUGGAGAGAGAGAGGGAGAGAGAGAAAGGGUCACCGGCCGCCCCCGCCAAACGUACCCUCCUCCCUCCUUCCUGUCUACAAUAAAAGUCAAUUUCAUCACCACCUGCCCAACCGGUGCUGGAUCCAAUGAUUCCAAUGCUGGCAGGAGACAAAGCAAGAGGCCCAAGUACUCAAAGUUUACACAACAAGAACUACCAGCGUGCAAGCCUAUUCUCACACCACGAGCAGUUAUUUCAGCCUUCUUGAUUGUCACCCUAGUGUUCAUUCCCAUUGGAGUUGCUUCGCUAAUUGCUUCGCAUGAUGUUGUUGAGAUUAUUGAUAGGUAUGACUCUCAGUGCAUACCAACAAAUGUGACAGACAAGGUGGCAUACAUUCAGACUCCUGGUGAAAAGCCAUGCAAUAGGACGCUACUUGUGGACAAGCGUAUGAAGUCUCCUAUCUAUGUUUACUACCAGCUUGACAACUUUUACCAGAAUCAUAGGCGGUAUGUU